rnacentral:rRNA from 1 species
AUAGAACGCUGGCGGCAUGCCUUACACAUGCAAGUCGAACGGUAACAGGUCUUCGGAUGCUGACGAGUGGCGAACGGGUGAGUAAUACAUCGGAACGUGCCUAGUAGUGGGGGAUAACUACUCGAAAGAGUGGCUAAUACCGCAUGAGAUCUACGGAUGAAAGCAGGGGAUCGCAAGACCUUGUGCUACUAGAGCGGCCGAUGGCAGAUUAGGUAGUUGGUGGGAUAAAAGCUUACCAAGCCGACGAUCUGUAGCUGGUCUGAGAGGACGAUCAGCCACACUGGGACUGAGACACGGCCCAGACUCCUACGGGAGGCAGCAGUGGGGGAUUUUGGACAAUGGGCGCAAGCCUGAUCCAGCAAUGCCGCGUGCAGGAUGAAGGCCUUCGGGUUGUAAACUGCUUUUGUACGGAACGAAAAGCCCUGGGUUAAUACCCUGGGGUCAUGACGGUACCGUAAGAAUAAGCACCGGCUAACUACGUGCCAGCCGCCGCCGUAAGAC